CCGGGAAAGGGUUCAACGAGAAAGUGGUGAAAAUAUUUUUAUAUUGACAUUCAUACAGGCAAUCAUACUUUUACUGGUCGUAUGAAACAGGGGUAUUGAAGGAGUUGAACGACAUCAUUUCACACCUGUUCAUGAAACAGAGUACCGCCUUGAGUUUUUUUCCUGGGUAGUGAUUACAAGGUGGGAUAUGUCAAAGGAUAGGGCUGACUACACCGUAACAAAUGCAAGAACAUCUACAAGCAAAAAGCGAAAGGCGCACUUCCCAGCAGUAAACUAGCAAGUGUACGACUAGGAUCAAUUACAACACCACUACUGAACAUAGAGCCAGACCAUAUAAUACCCGAUGAGCUACACCUACUCCUACAUAUAGCUGACGUUUUAAUCACUCACCUACAGACGAUCGUUAAGACUGUGGUAUAUCACGUUCAGGGUAUGGGAAGCAAGGGGUCCAGAUGGCAAAGCUUACGAAUGGACAUCACUGCAGGGGAGAAGUUUCUGGAACGUCGAGGUUUGCUGACCUACUGAAGACCUACUGAAGGAAGAAAUUCAAGCUAAAAUGGCCCAACUUUGGACAGUGAGUACUAAUUAAAUUUCUCUUCGCAUUUUCAUAAUUAUUUAUAUGGUCUGGCUCUAUAGGAAUUUCUCUCUUUGUAUAAGAUGGUUUCUAGCUGGACUCAGUGUUAGUUUACUAGUAGGGAGAACUCUAAUUUACUAUAAUCUAUCAUGAUAGGCGAAAGACUGGAUAAAGCUUUUCUUGAGCUUGAAGCACAAGUGUCAAGGGUUUCAGGAAAAGAAUAUUACUUUCACUUCCCUUACUUUAUUCAAAAUACGGAAAUGUCAAGAUGUUUAGGGUGGAGAAAAAUUAAUAAUGAUGACGCCAAGAGACCCAGUAAUCUGCAUGACCCAGUGGGGGAGGUUCUGAAAGCUGAAGCAAGAAUAGACGAGACAUCACAAUUUAAGCGAAAGAAACGAAAGUACAUUCCAGU